GAGUUUGAUCAUGGCUCAGAUUGAACGCUGGCGGCAUGCCUUACACAUGCAAGUCGAACGGCAGCACGGGAGCUUGCUCCUGGUGGCGAGUGGCGAACGGGUGAGUAAUGCAUCGGAACGUAUCCUGGAGUGGGGGAUAACGUAGCGAAAGUUACGCUAAUACCGCAUAUUCUGUGAGCAGGAAAGCGGGGGACCUUCGGGCCUCGCGCUCUUGGAGCGGCCGAUGUCGGAUUAGCUAGUUGGUGAGGUAAAGGCUCACCAAGGCAACGAUCCGUAGCAGGUCUGAGAGGAUGAUCUGCCACACUGGAACUGAGACACGGUCCAGACUCCUACGGAGGCAGCAGUGGGGAAUUUUGGACGAUGGGGGCAACCCUGAUCCAGCCAUGCCGCGUGAGUGAAGAAGGCCUGGUCGUAAGUACGUCUUCGUCGUA
rnacentral:rRNA from 1 species